rnacentral:rRNA from 1 species
GACGAACGCUGGCGGCGUGCUUAACACAUGCAAGUCGAACGGAAAGGCCCUGCUUUUGUGGGGUGCUCGAGUGGCGAACGGGUGAGUAACACGUGAGUAACCUGCCCUUGACUGUGGGAUAACUUCAGGAAACUGGGGCUAAUACCGGAUAGGAGCUCCCGCUGCAUGGUGGGGGUUGGAAAGUUUCGGCGGUUGGGGAUGGACUCGCGGCUUAUCAGCUUGUUGGUGGGGUAGUGGCUUACCAAGGCUUUGACGGGUAGCCGGCCUGAGAGGGUGACCGGCCACAUUGGGACUGAGAUACGGCCCAGACUCCUACGGGAGGCAGCAGUGGGGAAUAUUGCACAAUGGGCGGAAGCCUGAUGCAGCAACGCCGCGUGCGGGAUGACGGCCUUCGGGUUGUAAACCGCUUUCGCCUGUGACGAAGCGUGAGUGACGGUAAUGGGUAAAGAAGCACCGGCUAACUACGUG